UAUCUUACGAAUAAGGAUCGGCUAACUCCGUGCCAGCAGCCGCGGUAAUACGGAGGAUCCAGCGUUAUCCGGAUUUAUUGGGUUUAAAGGGUGCGUAGGCGGUUUGAUAAGUUAGAGGUGAAAGCCCGUAGCUCAACUACGGAACUGCCUCUAAUACUGUCAGGCUAGAGAAUAGUUGCUGUAGGCGGAAUGUGUGGUGUAGCGGUGAAAUGCUUAGAGAUCACACAGAACACCGAUUGCGAAGGCAGCUUACAAAGCUAUUUCUGACGCUGAGGCACGAAAGCGUGGGGAUCAAACAGGAUUAGAUACCCUGGUAGUCCACGCCGUAAACGAUGAUAACUCGUUGCAUGCGAUAUACAGUAUGUGACUUAGCGAAAGCGUUAAGUUAUCCACCUGGGGAGUACGUUCGCAAGAAUGAAACUCAAAGGAAUUGACGGGGGCCCGCACAAGCGGAGGAACAUGUGGUUUAAUUCGAUGAUACGCGAGGAACCUUACCCGGGCUUGAAAGUUAGUGACUGACUUGGAAACAGGUCUUCUCUUCGGAGCACGAAACUAGGUGCUGCAUGGUUGUCGUCAGCUCGUGCCGUGAGGUGUCGGGUUAAGUCCCAUAACGAGCGCAACCCCUAUCGUUAGUUGCCAGCGAGUCAUGUCGGGAACUCUAACGAGACUGCCGGUGUAAACCGCGAGGAAGGUGGGGAUGACGUCAAAUCAGCACGGCCCUUACGUCCGGGGCGACACACGUGUUACAAUGGUCGGUACAGAGGGCAGCUACCUGGUGACAGGAUGCGAAUCUCGAAAGCCGAUCUCAGUUCGGAUCGAAGGCUGAAACUCGCCUUCGUGAAGUUGGAUUCGCUAGUAAUCGCGCAUCAGCCAUGGCGCGGUGAAUACGUUCCCGGGCCUUGUACACACCGCCCGUCAAGCCAUGGAAGUCGGGGGUGCCUGAAGUACGUUACCGCAAGGAGCGUCCUAGGGCAAAACUGAUAACUAGGGCUAAGUCGUAACAAGGUA
rnacentral:rRNA from 1 species